ACCACAGGCAUUGUCGGCGGUUCUCCCAGGUGCAAGCCGGGAGAUUAAAAGGGAACGACGGAAGCGACAGGCGUCCAGGCCUGAUGCAAGCCGUGGCUGUCCCCGCAACUGUGAGCGGCGAGUCGGUGCCAACGAGCCACUGACCGGAGAUCCAUGGAUCCCGGUCGGGAAGGCGGUGCCGGAUGACGACCCGCGAGCCAGGAGACCUGCCUCCGACAGCGUCACUCU
rnacentral:ncRNA from 2 species